rnacentral:rRNA from 1 species
AGAACGAACGCUGGCGGCAUGCCUAACACAUGCAAGUCGAACGCGUGUAGCGAUACACGAGUGGCGGACGGGUGAGUAACGCGUGGGAACCUGCCCUGGAGUGUGGGAUAACCGAGGGAAACUUCGGCUAAUACCGCAUACGACCUGAGGGUGAAAGAUUUAUCGCUCUAGGAGGGGCCCGCGUCGGAUUAGCUAGUUGGUGGGGUAAAGGCCUACCAAGGCAGUGAUCCGUAGCUGGUCUGAGAGGAUGAUCAGCCACACUGGGACUGAGACACGGCCCAGACUCCUACGGGAGGCAGCAGUGGGGAAUAUUGGACAAUGGGGGCAACCCUGAUCCAGCAAUGCCGCGUGAGUGAUGAAGGCCUUAGGGUCGUAAAGCUCUUUCGCGCGCGACGAUGAUGACGGUAGCGCGAGAAGAAGCCCGGCUAACUUCGUGCCAGCAGCCGC